AUUCUUAAGGAGGCAGCCAUGUUUGUUUGGUCAUGUGAUCAAAGUUUUUCUACAUGUAAAACAGUCCAAACAUUAAGUGAGAGGUCCUUUUUGAUAUUGUGAUACUUUAGUUUGAUUGUAAUUUAGUUUUUGUUGUAGACUAUAGUGACUUUGAGGAAAAUUGUGUAACUUUUACUUUUCCCAUAAUGCAUUGCUUCUUGCACAUGGCCUGAUUCUCCAACAAUGUGCUCAGCAGUUUGCUGCGCUGAGGAUGAUUCAAUCCGCCUUUUUCUGCAACCAUCCUAAGAUUAUUUAGCACACCCACUACAGGCCCACGAGAUCUCACGGUGUUCAUCUUUGGAGACAGUUCAUUGUCAACAUUAAAGUCAGACAUGACAGAGACAUCAGUA